rnacentral:rRNA from 1 species
GACGAACGCUGGCGGCGUGCUUAACACAUGCAAGUCGAACGGUGAAGGGACCGGUUUUUGCUGGUUCUGGAUGAGUGGCGAACGGGUGAGUAACACGUGAGUAACCUGCCCCCUUCUUCUGGAUAACCGCAUGAAAGUGUGGCUAAUACGGGAUAUUCUGCGCCUGCUGCAUGGUGGGUGUGGGAAAGAUAUUGUUUCGGUGGGGGAUGGGCUCGCGGCCUAUCAGCUUGUUGGUGGGGUGAUGGCCUACCAAGGCGGUGACGGGUAGCCGGCCUGAGAGGGUGGACGGUCACACUGGGACUGAGACACGGCCCAGACUCCUACGGGAGGCAGCAGUGGGGAAUAUUGCACAAUGGGCGCAAGCCUGAUGCAGCGACGCCGCGUGAGGGAUAGAGGCCUUCGGGUUGUAAACCUCUUUCGCCAGUGAAGCAGGCCUGUCCCUUUUGUGGGUGGGUUGACGGUAGCUGGAUAAGAAGCGCCGGCUAACUACGUG